rnacentral:rRNA from 1 species
GACGAACGCUGGCGGCGUGCUUAACACAUGCAAGUCGAACGGAAAGGCCCUGCUUUUGUGGGGUGCUCGAGUGGCGAACGGGUGAGUAACACGCGAGUAACCUGCCCUUGACUUUGUGAUAACUUCGGGAAACUGGGGCUAAUACCGGAUAGGAGCUCCUGCUGCAUGGUGGGGGUUGGAAAGUUUCGGCGGUUGGGGAUGGACUCGCGGCUUAUCAGCCUGUUGGUGGGGUAGUGGCUUACCAAGGCUUUGACGGGUAGCCGGCCUGAGAGAGUGACCGGCCACAUUGGGACUGAGAGAGGGCCCAGACUCAUAAGGGACGGAGCAGUGGGGAAUAUUGCACAAUGGGCGGCAGCCUGGUGCAGCAACGACGCGUGCGGGGGGACGGCCUUCGGGUUGUAAACCGCUUUCGCCGGUGACGAAGAGUGAGUGACGGUAAUGGGUAAAGAAGCACCGGCUAACUACGUG